rnacentral:rRNA from 1 species
GACGAACGCUGGCGGCGUGCUUAACACAUGCAAGUCGAACGGAAAGGCCCUGCUUUUGUGGGGUGCUCGAUUGGCGAACGGGUGAGUAACACGUGAGUAACCUGCCCUUGACUUUGGGAUAACUUCAGGAAACUGGGGCUAAUACCGGAUAGGAUCUCCUGCUGCAUGUUGGGGGUUGGAAAGUUUCGGCGGUUGGGGAUGGACUCGCGGCUUAUCAGCUUGUUGGUGGGGUAGUGGCUUACCAAGGCUUUGACGGGUAGCCGGCCUGAGAGGGUGACCGGCCACAUUGGGACUGCGAUACGGAGCAGACUCCUACGGGAGGCAGCAGUGGGGAAUAUUGCACAAUGGGCGGAAGCGUGAUGCAGCAACGCCGCGUGCGGGAUGACGGCCUUCGGGUUGUAAACCGCUUUCGCCUGUGACGAAGCGUGAGUGACGGUAAUGGGUAAAGAAGCACCGGCUAACUACGUG